UACGUAGGGUGCAAGCGUUGUCCGGAAUUAUUGGGCGUAAAGAGCUCGUAGGCGGUUUGUCGCGUCUGCUGUGAAAACUCGGGGCUUAACCCCGGGCCUGCAGUGGGUACGGGCAGACUAGAGUGCGGUAGGGGAGACUGGAAUUCCUGGUGUAGCGGUGAAAUGCGCAGAGAUCAGGAGGAACACCGGUGGCGAAGGCGGAUCUCUGGGCCUUACCUGACGCUCAGGCGCGAAAGCUAGGGGAGCAAACAGG
rnacentral:rRNA from 1 species